rnacentral:rRNA from 1 species
UACGUAGGGGGCUAGCGUUGUCCGGAAUCAUUGGGCGUAAAGCGCGUGUAGGCGGUCCGGUAAGUCCGCUGUGAAAGUCGGGGGCUCAACCCUCGAAUGCCGGUGGAUACUGGCGGGCUAGAGUGCGGAAGAGGCGAGUGGAAUUCCUGGUGUAGCGGUGAAAUGCGCAGAUAUCAGGAGGAACACCAAUUGCGAAGGCAGCUCGCUGGGACGUUACUGACGCUGAGACGCGAAAGCGUGGGGAGCAAACAGG